UACGUAGGGUGCGAGCGUUAAUCGGAAUUACUGGGCGUAAAGCGUGCGCAGGCGGCUUUGCAAGACAGAUGUGAAAUCCCCGGGCUCAACCUGGGAACUGCAUUUGUGACUGCAAGGCUAGAGUACGGCAGAGGGGGAUGGAAUUCCGCGUGUAGCAGUGAAAUGCGUAGAUAUGCGGAGGAACACCAAUGGCGAAGGCAAUCCCCUGGGCCUGUACUGACGCUCAUGCACGAAAGCG
rnacentral:rRNA from 1 species